GCCUGGCUCAGCUAUUCAGGAGGCUGAGGUGGGAGGAUAAACUUGAGCCCAGGAGUUCUGGGCUGUAGUGCACUACGUGGAUCACGUGUCCACAGUAAGUUCAGCAUCCGAGGAGCAGGGGACCACCAGGUUGUCUAAAGAGGGAUGAACUGGCCCAGGUAAAAAAUGGAGUAGGUCAAAACUCCUGUGCUGAUCAGUAGUGGAAUCGCACCUGUGAAUAGCUACUGCAAUGCAGCCUAGACAACAUAACAAAACCACAUUA
rnacentral:SRP_RNA from 1 species